GAAUCAUUUCAAGUUUGGCUAGUUGAGUUCAAUUUCUACUUGAGUAAUAGUCAUGACAUUAUAUUACUGGGGUAGAAAAAAAGCUACCUUUCUCUUUCUCUAGAUUAAAGGAUUCUGGUCAUAAGGGAGACUACAUUCAAUUGGACAAGAAGGUGGAAAUCACUACUUCUUUUACCAGCCAGGUCAAGUCAAAAUCCUGAGCCCUAGGACGAAAGCCUUUUAGGAAAACACUCUUGCUCCAUGGGACUUCUUCACUGAGGAUUGCUCCUGGAGGACUAGAAGAUCUAAAGAAAAUGGAGGAGGGAGCAACUAGGUGACACAGUGGAUAGAGUACCAGCCCUGAAGUCAGGACAACCCCAGUUCAAAUCUGGUCUCAGACCUUCCUAACUAUGUGACCCUGAGCAAAUCAACCCCAAAUAGCCUCAGGAAAAAGAAGAAAGGAGAAGGAGAAGGAGAAAGAAAAG